CGGUAACGACGGGUAACGGGGAAUCAGGGUUCGAUUCCGGAGAGGGAGCCCCGAGAAAACGGCUACCACUUCCAAGGAAGGCAGCAGGCGCGCAACUUACCCCUAAUCUCGAUUCGAGGAGGUAGUGACAAGAAAUACCGAUGCGGGACCCUACGGGUGCCGCGUUCGGAAUGAGUACGAUUCGAACCACCUAACGAGGAACGAUCGGAGGGCAAGUCUGGUGCCAGCAGCCGCGGUAAUUCCAGCUCCAAUAGCGUACGUUAAAGUUGCUGCAGUUAAAAAGCUCGUAGUUGAACGUUCGGGUUCCGCGGGACGGGGCCGCCCCGCGAGGGACGGCGCCGCCCCGGGGCUCGUGAUAUCUCAUCUCGCCGCCCGUCGCGAGGCGGACGGAGGGAUGGAUGAGGUUACCUGGAAAAAAUCGGGGCGAUCUAGGCGGGCGAACCUCGCCAACGAACGAUCGGACAUGGG
rnacentral:rRNA from 1 species